AAUAUUCGAAAAUGGGCGAAAGCCUGAUCCAGCCAUGCCGCGUGUGUGAAGAAGGUCAUAGGAAUGUAAAGCACUUUAAGUUGAGUGGAAGGGCAGUAAGCUAAUACCUUGCUGUUUUGACGUUACCGAUAGAAUAAGCAUCGGCUAACUUCGUGCCAGCAGCCGCGGUAAUACGAAGGGUGCAAGCGUUAAUCGGAAUUACUGUGCGAAAAGCGCGAGUAGGUGGUUUGAUAAGUUGGAUGUGAAAGCCCCGGGCUUAACCUGGGAAUUGCAUUCAAAACUGACGAGCUAGAGUACGGUAGAGGGUAGUGGAAUUUCCUGUGUAGCGGUGAAAUGCGUAGAUAUAGGAAGGAACAUCAGUGGCGAAGGCGACUACCUGGACUGAUACUGACACUGAGGUGCGAAAGCGUGGGGAGCAAACAGG
rnacentral:rRNA from 1 species